rnacentral:rRNA from 1 species
AGUAACGAUAAAGCGGGUGAAAAGCCCGCUCGCCGGAAGACCAAGGGUUCCUGUCCAACGUUAAUCGGGGCAGGGUGAGUCGACCCCUAAGGCGAGGCCGAAAGGCGUAGUCGAUGGGAAACAGGUUAAUAUUCCUGUACUUGGUGUUACUGCGAAGGGGGGACGGAGAAGGCUAUGUUGGCCGGGCGACGGUUGUCCCGGUUUAAGCGUGUAGGCUGGUUUUCCAGGCAAAUCCGGAAAAUCAAGGCUGAGGCGUGAUGACGAGGCACUACGGUGCUGAAGCAACAAAUGCCCUGCUUCCAGGAAAAGCCUCUAAGCAUCAGGUAACAUCAAAUCGUACCCCAAACCGACACAGGUGGUCAGGUAGAGAAUACCAAGGCGCUUGAGAGAACUCGGGUGAAGGAACUAGGCAAAAUGGUGCCGUAACUUCGGGAGAAGGCACGCUGAUAUGUAGGUGAAGUCCCUCGCGGAUGGAGCUGAAAUCAGUCGAAGAUACCAGCUGGCUGCAACUGUUUAUUAAAAACACAGCACUGUGCAAACACGAAAGUGGACGUAUACGGUGUGACGCCUGCCCGGUGCCGGAAGGUUAAUUGAUGGGGUCAGCGCAAGCGAAGCUCUUGAUCGAAGCCCCGGUAAACGGCGGCCGUAACUAUAACGGUCCUAAGGUAGCGAAAUUCCUUGUCGGGUAAGUUCCGACCUGCACGAAUGGCGUAAUGAUGGCCAGGCUGUCUCCACCCGAGACUCAGUGAAAUUGAACUCGCUGUGAAGAUGCAGUGUACCCGCGGCAAGACGGAAAGACCCCGUGAACCUUUACUAUAGCUUGACACUGAACAUUGAGCCUUGAUGUGUAGGAUAGGUGGGAGGCUUUGAAGUGUGGACGCCAGUCUGCAUGGAGCCGGCCUUGAAAUACCACCCUUUAAUGUUUGAUGUUCUAACGUUGACCCGUUAUCCGGGUUGCGGACAGUGUCUGGUGGGUAGUUUGACUGGGGCGGUCUCCUCCUAAAGAGUAACGGAGGAGCACGAAGGUUGGCUAAUCCUGGUCGGACAUCAGGAGGUUAGUGCAAUGGCAUAAGCCAGCUUGACUGCGAGCGUGACGGCGCGAGCAGGUGCGAAAGCAGGUCAUAGUGAUCCGGUGGUUCUGAAUGGAAGGGCCAUCGCUCAACGGAUAAAAGGUACUCCGGGGAUAACAGGCUGAUACCGCCCAAGAGUUCAUAUCGACGGCGGUGUUUGGCACCUCGAUGUCGGCUCAUCACAUCCUGGGGCUGAAGUAGGUCCCAAGGGUAUGGCUGUUCGCCAUUUAAAGUGGUACGCGAGCUGGGUUUAGAACGUCGUGAGACAGUUCGGUCCCUAUCUGCCGUGGGCGCUGGAGAACUGAGGGGGGCUGCUCCUAGUACGAGAGGACCGGAGUGGACGCAUCACUGGUGUUCGGGUUGUCAUGCCAAUGGCACUGCCCGGUAGCUAAAUGCGGAAGAGAUAAGUGCUGAAAGCAUCUAAGCACGAAACUUGCCCCGAGAUGAGUUCUCCCUGACUCCUUGAGAGUCCUGAAGGAACGUUGAAGACGACGACGUUGAUAGGCCGGGUGUGUAAGCGCAGCGAUGCGUUGAGCUAACCGGUACUAAUGAACCGUGAG